UCGGCAAUGGGGGAAACCCUGACCGAGCAAUGCCGCGUGAACGAAGAAGGUCUUCGGAUCGUAAAGUUCUGUGAUCGGGAAAGAAUGGCAUGG
rnacentral:rRNA from 1 species